rnacentral:rRNA from 1 species
GGAUCCAGACUUUCAUUCUGGCUCAGGACGAACGCUGGCGGCGCGCCUAACACAUGCAAGUCGAACGAGAGAUGAGGAGCUUGCUCUUCAAAUCGAGUGGCGAACGGGUGAGUAACGCGUGAGGAACCUGCCUCAAAGAGGGGGACAACAGUUGGAAACGACUGCUAAUACCGCAUAAGCCCACGGCUCGGCAUCGAGCAGAGGGAAAAGGAGCAAUCCGCUUUGAGAUGGCCUCGCGUCCGAUUAGCUAGUUGGUGAGGUAACGGCCCACCAAGGCGACGAUCGGUAGCCGGACUGAGAGGUUGAACGGCCACAUUGGGACUGAGACACGGCCCAGACUCCUACGGGAGGCAGCAGUGGGGAAUAUUGCACAAUGGGGGAAACCCUGAUGCAGCGACGCCGCGUGGAGGAAGAAGGUCUUCGGAUUGUAAACUCCUGUUGUUGAGGAAGAUAAUGACGGUACUCAACAAGGAAGUGACGGCUAACUACGUGCCAGCAGCCGCGGUAAAACGUAGGUCACAAGCGUUGUCCGGAAUUACUGGGUGUAAAGGGAGCGCAGGCGGGAGAACAAGUUGGAAGUGAAAUCCAUGGGCUCAACCCAUGAACUGCUUUCAAAACUGUUUUUCUUGAGUAGUGCAGGGGUAGGCGGAAUUCCCGGUGUAGCGGUGGAAUGCGUAGAUAUCGGGAGGAACACCAGUGGCGAAGGCGGCCUACUGGGCACCAACUGACGCUGAGGCUCGAAAGUGUGGGUAGCAAACAGGAUUAGAUACCCUGGUAGUCCACACCGUA